rnacentral:rRNA from 1 species
UGAGUAACCUGCCCUUCACUUCGGGAUAACUCCGGGAAACCGGGGCUAAUACUGGAUAUGACCUGGUGCCGCAUGGUGCUGGGUGGAAAGUUUUCGGUGGGGGAUGGACUCGCGGCCUAUCAGCUUGUUGGUGAGGUAGUGGCUUACCAAGGCGACGACGGGUAGCCGGCCUGAGAGGGCGAUCGGCCACACUGGGACUGAGACACGGCCCAGACUCCUACGGGAGGCA